rnacentral:rRNA from 1 species
CUAGCAUAUCAAUAAGCGGAGGAAAAGAAACCAACAGGGAUUGCUCUAGUAACGGCGAGUGAAGCAGCAAUAGCUCAAAUUUGAAAUCUGGCGUCUUCGACGUCCGAGUUGUAAUUUGUAGAGGAUGCUUCUGAGUGGCCACCGACCUAAGUUCCUUGGAACAGGACGUCAUAGAGGGUGAGAAUCCCGUAUGCGGUCGGAAAGGCGCUCUAUACGUAGCUCCUUCGACGAGUCGAGUUGUUUGGGAAUGCAGCUCUAAAUGGGAGGUAAAUUUCUUCUAAAGCUAAAUAUUGGCCAGAGACCGAUAGCGCACAAGUAGAGUGAUCGAAAGAUGAAAAGCACUUUGGAAAGAGAGUUAAAAAGCACGUGAAAUUGUUAAAAGGGAAGGGAUUGCAACCAGACUUGCUCGCGGUGUUCCGCCGGUCUUCUGACCGGUCUACUCGCCGCGUUGCAGGCCAGCAUCGUCUGGUGCCGCUGGAUAAGACUUGAGGAAUGUAGCUCCCUCGGGAGUGUUAUAGCCUCUUGUGAUGCAGCGAGCGCCGGGCGAGGUCCGCGCUUCGGCUAGGAUGCUGGCGUAAUGGUCGUAAUCCGCCCGUCUUGAAACACGGACCAAGGAGUCUAACAUCUAUGCGAGUGUUCGGGUGUCAAACCCCUACGCGUAAUGAAAGUGAACGGAGGUGAGAACCGCAAGGUGCAUCAUCGACCGAUCCUGAUGUCUUCGGAUGGAUUUGAGUAAGAGCAUAGCUGUUGGGACCCGAAAGAUGGUGAACUAUGCCUGAAUAGGGUGAAGCCAGAGGAAACUCUGGUGGAGGCUCGCAGCGGUUCUGACGUGCAAAUCGAUCGUCAAAUUUGGGUAUAGGGGCGAAAGACUAAUCGAACCAUCUAGUAGCUGGUUCCUGCCGAAG